rnacentral:rRNA from 1 species
UACGUAGGGUGCGAGCGUUAAUCGGAAUUACUGGGCGUAAAGCGUGCGCAGGCGGUUUUGUAAGACAGGCGUGAAAUCCCCGGGCUCAACCUGGGAAUGGCGCUUGUGACUGCAAAGCUGGAGUGCGGCAGAGGGGGAUGGAAUUCCGCGUGUAGCAGUGAAAUGCGUAGAUAUGCGGAGGAACACCGAUGGCGAAGGCAAUCCCCUGGGCCUGCACUGACGCUCAGUGCACGAAAGCGUGGGGAGCAACAG